GAUGAACGCUGGCGGCGUGCCUAAUACAUGCAAGUCGAGCGAACAGACGAGGAGCUUGCUCCUCUGACGUUAGCGGCGGACGGGUGAGUAACACGUAGAUAACCUACCUAUAAGACUGGGAUAACUUCGGGAAACCGGAGCUAAUACCGGAUAAUAUAUUGAACCGCAUGGUUCAAUAGUGAAAGACGGUUUUGCUGUCACUUAUAGAUGGAUCCGCGCCGCAUUAGCUAGUUGGUAAGGUAACGGCUUACCAAGGCAACGAUGCGUAGCCGACCUGAGAGGGUGAUCGGCCACACGGGAACUGAGACACGGUCCAGACUACUACGGGAGGCAGCAGUAGGGAAUCUUCCGCAAUGGGCGAAAGCCUGACGGAGCAACGCCGCGUGAGUGAUGAAGGUCUUCGGAUCGUAAAACUCUGUUAUUAGGGAAGAACAAAUGUGUAAGUAACUAUGCACGUCUUGACGGUACCUAAUCAGAAAGCCACGGCUAACUACGUG
rnacentral:rRNA from 1 species